AACAGAAACCACUCAGUGCAGUAGAGGGGCUGCCAGGCCACGUGACCACUGCUCUGCUCUCUGCGUGGUUCUACUACUGCUACCCUCUCCUCAUUGGCAUGGACUUGAGACAAACUGAGAAGAUGGGUAAUCAUCAUUUCUGAGGCCACUGGAGUGACAGAGACAGGCAGAUCUCUUUGAUUUUGAGCAUAGUGUGGUCUAUGUUGGGAGUUUCAAGUUAUCCCUAAAUUCUGUCUUGACGGAGCUACAGCACACUGGCCCUCAUGUGAGCCAACCCCAUCAGUCAAGUGAGAGCAAUUUACAGCCUGUAGGCCACGUAUGAGCUGUAGGGGAGAUAUUAUUGGGGCACAACCCCAAAUCAUAAACGUGCUUAAAACUAUUUUGUAACUUGAAGAAAUGGUGAUUCUUUUGUUUUAUGGGGAAAAAAGUGUGUGUGUAGAUAAGUGCACACGUGAAGAAACCAGAAGAAGACACUGGAUCCUCUACAGCUGCAGUUCCAGGCCUUUGUGAGUAGUCAGGUGGGGAAACCAAAGCCCAGUGGGGUCAAGCCACACAGCCCAAGGUCAGAGAAGUCCGCAUGGCAGAGCUGGGCUUGAAGUACAGAUAGUGGACUCUGGAGUGUUGCAAGUUUCUAGAGACUAAAGGACUCUCCUGGCUGUCCUCUUCACCAGCCCUCACACAGGUAAUGCUUUGUAUGUGAUGGAUUUAAAGUGCAUGGACUUGGUACCUUGCUCCCAAUGCUGCCUGAAAUGAUUGCAUUUGUUGGCCUCUGGCUUCGCCUUACCGCUUCAGGAACCAGGAAGAAUAAGGUGUCUUUUCUUGAUUCCGGCAAGAUGACUACAUGGCCUGUAUAUGAAUCCUUCCAGAAGUGAGAUCUACCAAAGUCUAUCUGGCUGGUGCCUCUGCUGAGGAUGUGUAGACCUUGAGAGCUCCAGGCUAAGUGUCUCCCAGGCCACUUGUUGAGAUGAAAUGUUCAGUGAAUGAAAAUAGAUGAAGGAGGAACUCAAUCUGAUAAUAAGGACAGUGGAAGAGCAAGAGAAAAGAAAAUGAGUUAGAAAUAGUUCAUAAUUAAAUUAAUUAUGUGCCUGGUUCAUGCAGUGGCUAAUUUGUGCUUGUAGCAUAUCGGUGGUGCCAUUGGUUUGCGAAAGAGUCGUGAGAUUAUUAUGUCUGAGGUUCAGACAUACAUGGUCUCCCUGAUGAUCCAAGGCUGAAAAUGAAGAGUUGCAUAACCAAUUGAAUAACUUCUUGAGCACCAGGGAAGGGUGGUUACUCUGGUCUCCACUACCUAGUCUCCCUCGGUGGAGCUUGACAGAUCCUGGGGAAAAUGAAGGAUUUGGGAACAGGAGGAACUGGCACAGGACUAGAACUGGGCAAACUGAGGAGGAACUGCGGCAAAGACAGCCGAGAUGAUUAGCUAUGUGUGUCAGCACCUUUGGUACCUACACAUCUGGAAACACACUGCUUCUGGCAUGUCCUUGGAAUGGUUUUAGACAAGAUGAACAUUUGAGUCAGUAUACUGAGUAAAGAAAAUCCACCCUUGCCAAUGUAGGCAGACAUCUUGCAUCCUGUUGAGGUCACUAUAGAACAAAUGAUGAAAAGAUAGAGUCCUUCUUUUCUGGUUUUGGGACCUUCAACUUCUCUUGUCUUUAGAACCAUAAUUCUCCAUUGUUAGGCCUUUGGAACCCACCCUUGUUUCAUUUCUAUUGCUAUGAUGUGCUGCCUAGUUUUCUGUUUUGACUCAAGCUAAUGUCAUCUGAGAGAAGGAAACCUUACUUUAAAACAAAACAAAACAAAACAAAACAAAACAAAACAAAACAAAACA